CCUUGCACAUGUUCCGGGAAGCAGCCCUCACAAAUGUAGCCAAUGUAGGACAAGCAGUAAUCUGGGAAAUUGUAACAUAAGAUCACAUAAUGGCAGUGGCUUUUGAAUGAUAAGGAAACUGAUAAGGACUAUUAAGAAAGGAACACAGGAGACUAAAAAUCUGAAAGAUUUCCUCUAACACUGCCCAAAAAGAGUGUGAUCUGAUUUUAGAUGAAUUGUACUGGUUCUUUGGACUAAAAUAUCCCUCCAGCAGAGAAAGGCAAUUCAUCAAGCAACCAGAGCUAGAAAGUAAUUCUCUGAAAGAACAUCCGGCUGCCCUGGCUCGUGGUCUUUGCUUACCCAGAAGAGAAUCUGCAAUUUGGCCAUCUGAGUGCUGUUGACCAGCAUGGGUUCUUUUAGUGAUGAUCCUGCUGGGAGAUAAUAUGGGAUAUUGGUUUAUCAAUCACUCUCUGAAACCCAGCAUGUCCACCUAGUUCUAAAGCUCCAAAGAACAGAAGUUUAAGCAAGAAUCUUGCAAAAGCAUUCCUAAGUGUAGCCUCAGUGUGAGGAUCUCAAACUUACUCAGUUUUGGUGAUGCGGAUGGAAUGCUAAUAGAAACAUGACUUUCUGGAAAAGGAAAGCCCUAGCAGACUAACACAGCUGGCAAGUCAGAAGCCUCAGACUCCAAGACCCUGACUGCAGUGCUAUCACACCUCUGUCAGCAGAGUUGGCUAAUGAAUCUUGGAAAAAUCAGAGGUCUUCUCACAAAAUAAGGAUCCUGUGAAGGAGAGUAAUCAAGGAAAAGUUGCAAUCUCUUCAGACCUCUAUCAUCAAAAAGGAGGCCCAGUGCAUUAUUGCACCGAGAAGUUCUCUGUAGGGGUGAUCAUAAGGGACCUUCAAAUGUUUGAGGAAACAUCAUCAGUAGAUAAUGUAGCCCUCAGACAACUGCACUGUUUCUCUGCAGUAAAGCUACCCUUGGUCACUCGGGAGCUUCCUAGAGAUUGAGUAAUUAUUUUGGCACACCUUGCAGACAGUUAUCUUUAUCAUGGGAGUCAUCCAAUAGAAAAGGCGGUAUAAAACCUGUCCCUGAUGUUAGCUAAAGUGAUUAGUUACACUAUCUUUGUCCUGGAAAGCAUUCAGAUUAGCCUUAACUUAUUAGCCAGGGUUGUUAUGGUUGACAGAAUUGCCUUAGGCUUUUUUUCUGUGGGCCAAUGCAGAGGCUGUGCAAUCACUAGUCCAUCCUGCUAUGUCUUGAUCAAUAGCUUGGGCCAAUUUGAAAGGUCAAUACAAAAACUUAAGGAGAAAGCCACCUGGAUCUCUAAGGUAACCCCGAUAGCUUACAGGAUUUGUUCAGCUGGGUCUGGGACUCUUUGGGGUACAGUUGAGGUCAGUACUGCAGGUUGGCUCCAUCCUGUUACUUGAAGUCCUGUUGAUACUGGACUAAUUGAAUGCUGUAUGAGACAGAUUGAAAAGAUUUGGUUUCAGCCUCACCUCAUCUGAUUAAUUGAAGUGGUCAACAGUGGGAGAUUCAUGGGAAGAUUCUCCAGAAGCUAAGAUGCUAUAGAAAUGAGGGGUGAGUAUUGUUCUGAGAUAAUCCUUCACAAGUCUCUUGCAUAUCUGCAUAUCUCAUGAGCAAAGCACUCACUGUUGCUCUUUGUUUUAGACUAUUUUUCUAAGAUCCAAUGUCUCUUUCCAAGAGAAGGACAGGUUUGCUUACAGUCUGGGAAAAUAGAGAAGAUAGUGUCCAGAGCAAAGGGCAUGCUGAAAUUCAUUCUAAAAGAUUUGGAUUUCCUAAGCUCAGGGUUCUUCUUGUGCAGUGCACCUGUUGUGUGUACGGCAGUCACCUGGCACUCUUCAUGUCACCCUGUGGGAAUUGAGGCUUGGGGAACUAGUGUAAAAAUGGUGACACUGUGGCUACUCUUGCUGUGAGUGCUAGAUGAUCCUUUAUCCCUGACCUAGGAAUCUCAUGCGUUCUACUAGCAUCCAUAAAACUUUGGCAGGCUAACUUUUUAACUUACAAGAAGGAUAAAUUCUCAGGCACUAUUCAGUUUUUAACACACUCCAAGUAGCCACUCCUAAUCAGUUGGAUGAGAUGAAACCAAUUUUCUGUCCUCGGCCCAGAGAAUGUAAAGUGGGCAGUGGGCAUGUGACAGGUAAGAAAAGGCCAGAACAAGCAGGACUAGCAGUUCAGCAAGGUGGGGAGGGUGGGAGUGAGGGGUAGGGAAGGGAUGGUAGGGUGGUGGGGGAAAGAAGAGCAUAGGCCGGGUGCAGUAGCUCACAUCUGUAACCCCAGCACUUUGGGAGGCCAAGGUGGGUGGAUCACUUGAAGUCAGGAGUUCAAGACCAGCCUGGCCAACAUGGUGAAACCCUGUCUCUACCAAAAAAUACAAAAAUUAGCCGGGUGUGGUGAUGUACACCUGUAGUCCCAGCUACUUGGGAGGCUGAGGCGAGAGAAUCGCUUGAACCUGGGAGGCAGAAGUUGCAGUGAGCCAAGAUGGCGCCACUGCACUCCAGCCUGAGUGACAGAGUGAAACUCCAUCUCAAAAAAACAAAAAAAGCAUAGGGCCAUGGUCAUGCCAGGAGGGCCUAUAAAAGAUCACUUUGUCUCUAGGCAUGUCACAGAAAGUUUUUCACUUAAUAUGAAACAGAAUUUAGACCUGACUUCUUCCUGCUGUAUUUACUAAAAGUAGUUUUAUUUGACCUGUCUUGCUAGGGAUAGGCCAGGUUGCUAUGAGGGGAUUUAGAAAAACUUGUCAUCACCUUCUAGUUCCUAUUUUUGUGUCCCUUUGCUUUCCCAGAUGCCCCUUUUCCUUAAUAAAAACUUAUUUAUAUGGAA